AUGAAAUGCGUAGAGAUGUGGAGGAACACCGUAUGGCGAAGGCAGCCCCCUGGGUCAAAACUGACGCUCAUGCACGAAAGCGUGGGGAGCAAACAGGAUUAGAUACCCUGGUAGUCCACGCCCUAAACGAUGUCAACUAGUUGUCGGGUCUUAAUUGACUUGGUAACGCAGCUAACGCGUGAAGUUGACCGCCUGGGGAGUACGGUCGCAAGAUUAAAACUCAAAGGAAUUGACGGGGACCCGCACAAGCGGUGGAUGAUGUGGAUUAAUUCGAUGCAACGCGAAAAACCUUACCUACCCUUGACAUGUCAGGAACCCUGGAGAGAUGUGGGGGUGCCCGAAAGGGAGCCUGAACACAGGUGCUGCAU
rnacentral:rRNA from 1 species